rnacentral:rRNA from 1 species
CACGUAGGGCGCGAGCGUUGUCCGGAAUCACUGGGCGUAAAGGGCGCGUAGGCGGCUUGAUAAGCGUGCGGUGAAAGCCCGGGGCUCAACCCCGGGUCGGCCGUGCGAACUGUCGAGCUGGAGCACUGUAGAGGCAGGUGGAAUUCCGGGUGUAGCGGUGGAAUGCGUAGAGAUCCGGAAGAACACCGGUGGCGAAGGCGGCCUGCUGGGCAGUGGCUGACGCUGAGGCGCGACAGCGUGGGGAGCAAACAGG